UACGUAGGGUGCGAGCGUUGUCCGGAUUUAUUGGGCGUAAAGAGCUCGUAGGCGGUUUGUCGCGUCGGCCGUGAAAUCUCCACGCUUAACGUGGAGCGUGCGGUCGAUACGGGCAGACUUGAGUUCGGUAGGGGAGACUGGAAUUCCUGGUGUAGCGGUGGAAGUGCGCAGAUAUCAGGAGGAACACCGAGUGGCAAAGGCAGGUCUCUGGGCCGCAACUGACGCUGAGGAGCGAAAGCAUGGGGAGCGAACAGG
rnacentral:rRNA from 1 species